AGUGAACGCUGGCGGUAGGCCUAACACAUGCAAGUCGAACGGCAGCACAGUAAGAGCUUGCUCUUCCCGGUGGCGAGUGGCGGACGGGUGAGGAAUACAUCGGACUCUACUUUUUCGUGGGGGAUCACGUAGGGAAACUUACGCUAAUACCGCAUCCGCCCUACGGGUGAAAGCAGGGGAUCUUCGCACCUUGCGCGAUUGAAUGAGCCGAUGUCGGAUUAGCUAGUUGGCGGGGUAAAGGCCCACCAAGGCGACGAUCCGUAGCUGGUCUGAGAGGAUGAUCGGCCACACGGGAAAUGAGACACGGUCAAGACUCCUACGGGAGGCAGCAGAGGGGAAUAUUGGACAAUGGGAGGAAGCCUGAUACAGCCAGACCGCGUGGGUGAAGAAGGCCUUCGGGUUGUAAAGCCCUUUUGUGGGGAAAGAAAAGCAGAAGGUUAAUACCCAGCUGUUCUGACGGUACCCAAAGAAGAAGCACCGGCUAACUUCGUG
rnacentral:rRNA from 1 species